GGCUCAGGAUGAACGCUAGCGGCAGGCUUAACACAUGCAAGUCGAGGGGCAUCGGGAGUAGCAAUACUUGCCGGCGACCGGCGCAAGGGUGCGUAACGCGUGAGCAACAUGCCCGUAUCAGGGGGAUAAUCCAUGGAAACGUGGUCUAAUACCCCAUAGUAAUUAUGUAAGGCAUCUUAUAUAAUUUAAAGCUUUGGUGGAUACGGAUUGGCUCGCGUGACAUUAGCUGGAUGGUAAGGUAACGGCUUACCAUGGCUACGAUGUCUAGGGGUUCUGAGAGGAAGGUCCCCCCACACUGGAACUGAGACACGGUCCAGACUCCUACGGGAGGCAGCAGUGAGGAAUAUUGGACAAUGGAUGGAAAUCUGAUCCAGCCAUGCCGCGUGCAGGAAAAGACGGCCCUAUGGGUUGUAAACUGCUUUUGUAUGGGAGCAAUAAGGGCUACGUGUAGUCCGAUGAGAGUACCAUACGAAUAAGCACCGGCUAACUCCGUGCCAGCAGCGGC
rnacentral:rRNA from 1 species